UGUCUGAAAUUAAACUAUCAGCUUGAAGAAAAUCCUACCAGGGCAGAGAGAACUGUAUUUGAAGGAAUCGUUGUUUGAUUGACUGAUGUUCACAAUGGGCCCACUGAGCGUCAAUGUUGCGAGACAGUUGCUCCAGCGUCAGAUGCACGUCCUCAGAACUGUGUCCAGUGACGUCAAAGGGAGGGAGGAGCGACUGCAGGGUAUGCAGGACAGAGUGGAGACCCUGGAGAUCAGAAGGAGACUGCAGGACAGCCGCAUGACCCACAGACAGCCCACCACUAGACGUGUUGCUGAGCGUCAUCAAUGACAGCUGUGUCAUCACGGACACGUCUAAAGAUAGCAUCAACACAUGAUUAUGAUCCAUAUGUCUUCUGAUUGGAGCUCUUCCACUUGUAGAUGAAGGUGGUAUAGAUCAUCAGAUCGAAUUUUCAGCUAGCCAGUUUCUUCUCCCUCGUCAUAAAGGCAUUCCACUGUUCCACUAUUUUCUUAUGUGCCGAUAGUAUCUGUCCAAACCGCUUUCAGUAACUCUGUCUGCAAUAUCGUCUCAUCAUGCAACUUGUGUCCAGCAUGUUCAGUUAAAGAUCUUAUCUAUACUUGAUUAGUAUAUAACGUUAAAAAGUUUAUUGAAAAAAUGAUUUAAAUGAUAUGACAGUUAAUUCGUCCUAAUUCAUGUUCAUGUUAAUGUAUUAUAUCUCUGCCAAGUUGUCAAUCUUCAUGUCAAAAGCUUCAUCAGUUGUAUGGGAUAUUUAAAGACUUGCUAGUAGACCUUGGUAGAUUUGUCAGUAGCGCCGUAAUAUUGUAAUGUAGAAAGUACAGUCAAACCUGUCUAU